rnacentral:lncRNA from 9 species
AACAAAGAGAAGGAAAUUUAUUAGAGGGAAAGGAGAGGGUGACUGACCCUGAGAAGAGCCAGCCCCCCCCCACUUCUGCUGGGGCCUUCUUAUACCCUGUGGAUGGGAAAUUGAUUCCCUGAAGCUGGGGGAGAAGGUUAGUUGACCUUUCACCUGCAGCUGGACUCUGGUGGUCUCGGAAUCUUGACAAAGCCAGAGGUGUGUGGUGUCCCAUAGGGGGGUGGUCUCGCAGUCUUGGGAAAGCCAGAGGGAGGAGCACAGCUUCUCCCCAGAAGAUCACCGUUUCACCACCUUCCAUUCACCAGGUGUAGGCACUUUAUCCAGAUCCCAAACCCCAGUCAGGCGGGGGGUUCAAAAUUACCUGCUCAACAGCUGAUUCCACUCAACAGCAAAUAAGACAACAAUCCAAUUGAAAAAUGGGCAAAAGAUAUAAAUAGAAAUGUAUCCAAACAAGACAUACACAUGGCCAACUAGCCCAUGAAAAAAUGUUCACCAUCCUUCAUUGUUAGAGAAAUGCAAAUCCAAACUACUAUGGGGGACCCCUCACACCAGUCAGAAUGGCCAUCAUUAGUAAGUCUACAAAUAGCAAAUGCUGGAGAGGGUGUGGAGAAAGGGUACCCUCCUACACUGCCGGUGGGAAUGUAAAUGGGUACAACCACCAUGGAAAACAGUAUACAGGCACCUCAGAAAACUAAAUAUAGAAGGACAUUUUGACCCAGCAAACCCAGCAUUGGGCAUAUAGCCAGACAAAACAUUCCUGGAAAAAGACACAUGCACCCCUGUAUUCCUUGCAGCACUAGUUACAAUAGCCAAGAAAUGGAAACAACCAAAUGUCCACUGAGAGAUGAAUGGAUUAAGAAGAGGUGGUACAUGUACACAAUGGAAUACUACUCAGCCAUAAAAAAAGAACACAAUCAUGCCAUGUGCAGCAGCAACAUGGAUAGAAAAGGAACAUUCAUCCUUAGUGAAAUAAGUCAGAAAGAGAAAAACAAAUACCAUAUGAUAUCACCUAUAUCUGAAAUCUAACAAAUGGUAAAAAUAAACCUUUUCAUAGAAAAGAAACCCAUGGAAUUGAAGAACAGACUUGUCAAAGGGGAGGGGGAGGGAGUGGGGAUGACUGGGAGUUGGGGGUUCAUAGAUGCCAACUAUGGCAUCUGGAGUGGGUAAGCAAUGAGAUCCUGCUGCAUAGCACAGGCAGUGCUAUCUAGUCACCUGUGAUGGAACAUGAUGGAGGAUAAAUGGACAAAAAGGAUGUGUGGAUAGAGAUGUCAGCCUGGGUCACUUGGCUAUAGGGUAGACUGAGCACUGCAAGUCAACUACAAUGGGAAAGGAAUCAUUUUAAAAAAAAAAUCACAAUUACCAGCUGAGGGCUCACUAGAGACGGUAUCUGGGUCCAGACUCCUGCCUCUCAAGAAAAAACAGGCCAUCUGACCCCAUCGAAACUGUCAAGCUUUCUCACUGCUGUGACACACGACCAGGCUGCAAAUCCACAUCAAAUGCUGAAGGAAACACCCCUGUGUCCUUGCCUGACCUGAGGCAUCUUGGGCCAGAGAGUCACAGGUGCCUGGAAAACAAUCCCGAAUUUCUGGGUGCUGCUGAGGCUUCCGACAAAUGCAUCAUCAGCCACAUCUCUG